CGCGGGAAUUCGAUUUUCCGGUUGAUCCUGCCGGAGGCCACUGCUAUUGGGAUCCGACUAAGCCAUGCGAGUCGAGAGGGUUCGGCCCUCGGCAGACUGCUCAGUAACACGUGGAUAAUCUACCCUUAGGCGGAGGAUACUCUCGGGAAACUGAGAAUAAUACUCCAUAGAUCCAGGAUGCUGGAAUGCACCUAGAUUGAAAGUUCCGACGCCUAAGGAUGAGUCUGCGGACUAUCAGGUAGUAGUCAGGGUAAAGACCUGACUAGCCUACGACGGAUACGGGUUGUGAGAGCAAUAGCCCGGAGACGAUAUCUGAGACACGAUAUCGGGCCCUACGGGGCGCAGCAGGCGCGAAAUCUUCACAAUGUGCGAAAGCACGAUGAGGGGAUCCCAAGUGUUGGUUCGUAAGAAUCAUCUGUUUCUUUGUCUAAAAAACAGAGAGAGUAAGAGCUGGGUAAGACGGGUGCCAGCCGCCGCGGUAAUACCUGCAGCUCAAGUGGUGGCCGCUAUUAUUGGGCCUAAAACGUCCGUAGUCGGUUUAGUAAAUGCUUGGGUAAAUUGUGUAGCUUAACUAUACGAAUACCGAGUAGACUGCUGAACUUGGGACCGGGAGAGGCUAGAGGUACUCCUAGGGUAGAGGUGAAAUUCUGUAAUCCUAGGGGGACCACCAGUGGCGAAGGCGUCUAGCCAGAACGGGUCUGACGGUGAGGGACGAAGCCCUGGGGCGCAAACCGGAUUAGAUACCCGGGUAGUCCAGGGUGUAAACGCUGCUCGCUUGAUGUUAGUUGGGCUCCGAGCCC
rnacentral:rRNA from 1 species